AAGCAACGCGAAGAACCUUACCAGGUCUUGACAUCCUCUGACAAUCCUAGAGAUAGGACGUCCCCUUCGGGGGCAGAGUGACAGGUGGUGCAUGGUUGUCGUCAGCUCGUGUCGUGAGAUGUUGGGUUAAGUCCCGCAACGAGCGCAACCCUUGAUCUUAGUUGCCAGCAUUCAGUUGGGCACUCUAAGGUGACUGCCGGUGACAAACCGGAGGAAGGUGGGGAUGACGUCAAAUCAUCAUGCCCCUUAUGACCUGGGCUACACACGUGCUACAAUGGACAGAACAAAGGGCAGCAAAACCGCGAGGUUAAGCCAAUCCCACAAAUCUGUUCUCAGUUCGGAUCGCAGUCUGCAACUCGACUGCGUGAAGCUGGAAUCGCUAGUAAUCGCGGAUCAGCAUGCCGCGGUGAAUACGUUCCCGGGCCUUGUACACACCGCCCGUCACACCACGAGAGUUUGUAACACCCGAAGUCGGUGAGGUAACCUUUAUGGAGCCAGCCGCCGAAGGUGGGACAGAUGAUUGGGGUGAAGUCGUAACAAGGUAGCCGUAUCGGAAGGUGCGGCUGG
rnacentral:rRNA from 1 species